rnacentral:lncRNA from 1 species
CACACUGCUGCUCUUACACCGAAGUGUGAUCAGUCUGGUGCCGGUUUCUUGAAUUCUUUCACUGAUGGCUGAUGCCAGAUGAUAGAGCUGUUCAUAGACCGAAUUCCGGUGCUGAUGGGAAAGCUCGUAGAAACCGCUUCAGAGAUAAAACCGAAUGGCUCUUUUCUGGCAGACUUGCUGUGGUGCGUCUUGGCUUUACUGCUAUUUUAGUGGUUGAGACUCUGAAGAGAGCAGAGCGCCUUAGGGUCUCAUCUGGUGAUAAAAGUAACAAGGGAUGGGUCUGUAUGUGUGUGUGUGUGUGUGUGAUUUAAAAAAACUGUUUGAGAACCAGAAGAAAACCAAAUAAUACUUUGCUGUAUUUUGACUUAUGAUUAAUUCAGCCAGCUUCCAGAGCUUUUGUUAUCAGCCUCUUUGAGCUUAGGAAUGUCAUAUUUUGUGGACACAAGGGCUAUACAACCACAGUGUCCCUUCGCGAAGCCUGUGGGGACAUGGAGGGUGUGCUCACUAGGAGUAAAAUAGGAAUCCAAAAUGGGCUCGUGGCUAAGCUGACAGGCCUUAACGCUGUGCCAGUUCUGUAUCUUAGUCCUUAACCAAAUCCAAAGGCGAUGCUGUGUGUUAUUAUGUCUAAAUAGAUACACAGGAGAUUUGUAUUCCUGAAACACAUGCUCUAAAAAAAGGAAAACCUGGGAAUUUGGUACUGUAAAAAUAGGAUGAGCAAAAGUUCGAAAAGCCAUCAGAUGUUACCAGAGGGGGAAAAAUAAGACAUUAAAAUGAGGAAUAAUUACAAUGGAAUAUGAAAAGUGCUUCAACUGCUCCAAUUUUUAAGUCUAGUGAAAGAAUAAUAAUGUAUUUAAGGAAAUUCUGAGUCAGCAGAAAUGAAGCCAAGAGCAAAAAUUCUUACUAAAACAGACUGUCAACCUGUGGAAUGCAUUUGUCUUAAUCAAAUUGAGUUCUGUUGCCUAGACGGACAAAAUUAGAAUUCUUAAGCAACGUAAAGCUUAACAUUUUAUUUAAAAUUGGGUAGGCUUUGAAAACCAAUAUAGUAACAAAAGAUAUGUUAAAAUGCAAUGAACAUUAAAAUUAUUCAAAACACUUAAGAGAUAACCUACAAUAUCAAAGUUAUUUGUUGCGUUUUUGAAUUACGUCUGUUUAGGAAGAGUCUAAUACUUUACCCUAGACGGUCACCCGUGGCUACAUACAUUUGGACUUCUGAGCUCCUGGGUACACUCUCCAUGGUUUCCUACCUUCAGACUGUGUUACAUCCAACACAGUGGAAUGGUGAGCAGAAAAUACCUGAUUCUAACAUUGGCUUGCUUUCCACAUAACUUUACAAUAGAUAUGGAACUGGAGGUGCACAAAGAAUUGGUCAUUGAUUGGCCUUUCCAUGUACUAUCUUGGCUUUUCUCGUGCCUUGAUCUAAAAUUUGGCUCCUUCUUUAAAAGGAUGUCACAUGACUUUAUCACCAUGACUGAAAAGAUGUCAUUGUUUUAUAAUAAGAGGGUAUCCAUGUCUCUGAUGAUGAGUGUGGUCCAGUGUGUUCAAAUGCAGGGUGUCCAUUUGUACCCAUGGUCACGUUCAAUGCAAAAAAACCUAAAAACUUUGUCAUCUAUUUGAUGAACCACAGUGUAAACAGCCAAGAACAGCUUUGAAUAGUGUCCUCAUUUAUUCUUUAGAUAACUAGCUUACCGUGGCAUACAAAGAGGUUUAAAAAGGUUUAGAGAUUAUAGGUACUGACCUCAAAGCACAUGCCAGUCUGUGCAAAUACAUUUACCUCAAUGCAAUUAGGCGCUCCUAGUUAAAGGAAAAGAUUAGGCUUUAUUUAUGUAUUUGAUAACCAUCUCUAUUUUUUUAAAGCUUAAAUUUUUUUUAACACAUUGUGUUCUUGUUCCCUUUCUUCUUUCAGUUUUAUACUUUAUUCUAGAUCUAAACCUGCUAGAUCCUUAAUUUCCUGAACCUGCUUUCUUUUGACCUACAUGCAAUCUCUUCUUCUUG